rnacentral:misc_RNA from 1 species
AAAGUUCUCUGUGUAGUCUGACAGAUGGUGCAUGCUCCUUGAUAGAGCUAUCAUCAACCGUGCCCGAAACUUUCGCACUUGGUUGGUCAUUACUAGCUGUUCCAAUAGAUAGGUCAGGCUUCUUCACUGAAUUGGGGAAGCGAGAAAUAGCAUCCCUCUUAAUAGAUCCUCCAUGAAUUGGAGUUUUGGGCUCUUCAUUCUCAUUAUCCACACACAAACG